GACAGAGGGUGCAAACGUUGUUCGGAAUUACUGGGCGUAAAGCGCGUGUAGGCGGCUCUGCAAGUCGGGUGUGAAAUCCCAUGGCUCAACUAUGGAAGUGCACUCGAAACUGCAGGGCUAGAGUCCUGGAGAGGAAGGUGGAAUGCUUGGUGUAGAGGUGAAAUUCGUAGAUAUCUGGAGGAACACCGGUGGCGAAGGCGGCAUCCUGGACCGACACUGACGCUGAGGAGCGAAAGCCAGGGGAGCAAACGGG
rnacentral:rRNA from 1 species